UUUUUUUUUUUUUUUUGCAAACAAAAUCAAGAUCAGAGGUUUUAUUAUCAUCAUCUACAUAUAUCCAAGUUACUGAUUUUUGUUGAUUUUGUUUUUCAUGUGGAACCCUAAAUCUUGGAUAAAAUCGGACUCCGAUCAUUCGUGAAACAACAGAGAUAUGCAUCCCUUGCACAACAGUCCUUCAUUUUUAAAGCUUAUUGAUGAAGAUGACCCGAUAUUUUUGGUGAAGAGCUUCUUUCAGACUCCUUCCCCUACAAGGAACUAUUGAAUGGGUUCCUAUGAGAAGUUGAAGAAAAGUUAUGGAUAAUGAAAACAAUGCUCCUUCGUUAUUAAAGUCGAUUGAGGACUAUGAUCCUAUAUUUUUCGAAUUGUUCGUCGACCAAAAACAGUUAUGGAUCAUGAAAACAACGCUCCUUCGUUGUUAAAGUUGAUUGAGA